rnacentral:lncRNA from 1 species
AUAUUGAAGCAAAACAUUUGCGUUUGUUUUUAAAGCAGAAUCAUCCUGAAUUUAUUAUCUGGUCCAGAGAUUGCCUUCUUGUUUGCUUUUUAAAAUUCGGCUAAGGCCUCUUUUCUGGCUUGAGAAACGGCUUGGGUUUUAGGUUAAAGGCAGUUUGGUUUUCGGGGAGGGUGGGGUCAGCCUAGCUCAGGGCGGCCCAGUGGGAUUCUGUUUCCUGCAACAUAUCCACGUCUUGAAAAUAUCUGGUAAAUACCGAAAGCAAAUUUCAACGAGCUGGUAAUUCCUGCGGAAACAGAAUUUCAGACUGUUUACUGAGAAGACACCCAGGGGUCUUGAGAUGGGAUCUUGACCAUACAACCAUUUUCCCACACAGCUCUGAGAAAAAGAACGAACCAGUAUCGCCACAUUUGGCUGCCAAUUGUAAGCUGUCUUUAUGGGAAACCAGACUGGCCUGUACAGCAUUCAUCGAUCUUGGGAGAAGUCGCAGGAACUUUUGGUACCCUAAGUUCACAGUUUGAUGUAUGCACAUGCUUCUGGUGGCGAAUGGAAGAGAGGAGAAAUGUGACGCUUCAGCAGGACAAUAUAUUCAUCUGCUGAUGACUCUGAUGAAACAUACUUCAAAUAUAGCAGAAGUUAAAGAGUCUGUCUGAUGGAGCGAUCUCUUGCUAACCGCUAAAGGAGGUCUGUGAAGAGUGACGGAUGGCUGGUGAUAUUUUAUUUCUUCUACAGCACAUUUCAAUAACUCAAAUCAUCUUGUAUAUUUAUUUUUUAUUUGGUUAUUGUCUGUCUUGCUCCUCUGGGAUGUCAGCUCUAUGAGGAUAGAGAUCUCAUCUUGUUCACUGUUGUAUUCCCAACUCCUAGAAGGAUACCUGGUACAUAGUAGGUGUUUGAUAAGUAGUGAUUUAUUGCAUGCCCCUUGCCUUAUACCAUGGUGUCAUAGGCAGAG